rnacentral:tRNA from 1 species
AGCUCGUUGGUCUAGGGGUAUGAUUUUUGCUUAGGGUGCGAAAGGUCUCGGGUUCAAAUCCCGGACGAGCCC